AAGACCUUACGCUUUUGGAGCGGCCGAUGUCUGAUUAGCUUGUUGGUGAGGUAAAAGCUUACCAAGGCUUCGAUCAGUAGCUGGUCUGAGAGGACGGCCAGCCACACUGGGACUGAGACACGGCCCAGACUCCUACGGGAGGCAGCAGUGGGGAAUUUUGGACAAUGGGGGCAACCCUGAUCCAGCCAUGCCGCGUGAGUGAAGAAGGCCUUCGGGUUGUAAAGCUCUUUCAGCCGGAACGAAACGGUUACGGUUAAUACCCGUGACUACUGACGGUACCGGAAGAAGAAGCACCGGCUAACUACGUGCCAGCAGCCGCGGUAAUACGUAGGGUGCAAGCGUUAAUCGGAAUUACUGGGCGUAAAGCGUGCGCAGGUGGUUUUGUAAGUCAGAUGUGAAMUCCCCGGGCUUAACCUGGGAACU
rnacentral:rRNA from 1 species